GGGGCUGACAUGGAUUUGACAGCAAGAUGAAUUAAUCUGUAAGCAUGUCGGGCUAUGCAAUUUACCCCGUAAAACUGAAUUGCAAACAAUCAACUGGCGAAAACAAUUACGCGCUCGCUGCCUAAUCUGUCAGACAGAUCCAGGUAUAAUCCCGGCACCAGGUGUUGGGACGAGCUGUCUCUCAGAAGCCUUGCCUGACGGCGUCUGAUCAAGAGGCACCAGGAAAGUUGGGAUAGUCCGGUAAGGGUUCCGGUUACCGGGUGAAAAUAAAGGAACUAAGGUUCAGACAGGAUGCCUGCUGCCGGUCUGCUCCCGACAAUCAAUAACAGGAUAAGCAUGUAGAAAACAUUUUGGUUUCUUGUUUGGACGGCGGUUCGAACCCGCCCAGCUCCACAA
rnacentral:tmRNA from 1 species